rnacentral:rRNA from 1 species
AUGAACGCUAGCGACAGGCUUAACACAUGCAAGUCGAGGGGUAACAGGUAGCAAUACCGCUGACGACCGGCGCACGGGUGAGUAACGCGUAUGCAACCUGCCUAUAACUGGGGAAUAGCUCCCUGAAAGGGGAAUUAACACCGCAUAACACUAUUGAUUCGCAUGGAUUAGUAGUUAAAUGUAGCGAUACAGGUUAUAGAUGGGCAUGCGUGACAUUAGCUAGUUGGUGAGGUAACGGCUCACCAAGGCUACGAUGUCUAGGGGUUCUGAGAGGAAGGUCCCCCACACUGGUACUGAGACACAGACCAGACUCCUACGGGAGGCAGCAGUGAGGAAUAUUGGUCAAUGGGCGCGAACGCCUGAACCAGCCAUGUCGCGUGCAGGAAGAACCUGCCCUAUGGGUUGUAAACUGCUUUUAUAGUAGAAGAAACACAUCUACGUGUAGAUGUCUGCCAGUAUACUAUGAAUAAGCAUCGGCUAACUCCGUGCCAGCCGCCGC